rnacentral:rRNA from 1 species
UAUCAACGCUGGCGGCGUGCCUCAGACAUGCAAGUCGAACGCGAAAGUCCCCUUCGGGGGACAAGUAGAGUGGCGCACGGGUGAGUAACACGUAGGUAAUCUACCUUCGGGUGGGGAAUAACGCAGGGAAACUUGCGCUAAUACCGCAUAAUGCAGCGGCACCACAUGGUGACAGUUGUUAAAGCGGGGGAUUUUCGGACCUCGUGCCUGAAGAGGAGCCUGCGGCAGAUUAGCUAGUUGGUAAGGUAACGGCUUACCAAGGCGACGAUCUGUAGCCGGCCUGAGAGGGCGGUCGGCCACACUGACACUGACAUACGGGUCAGACUCCUACGGGAGGCAGCAGUCGGGAAUUUUGGGCAAUGGGCGAAAGCCUGACCCAGCAACGCCGCGUGAAGGAUGAAAUCCCUCGGGAUGUAAACUUCGCAAGAAUAGGAAGAAUGAACGAGCGCUAACACCGUUCGUGAUGACGGUACUAUUUGUAAGCUCCGGCUAACUCCGUGCCAGCACG